rnacentral:rRNA from 1 species
UACGUAGGGAGCAAGCGUUGUCCGGAUUUAUUGGGCGUAAAGAGCUCGUAGGCGGUUCCGUAAGUCGGGUGUGAAAAAUCUGGGCUCAACCCAGUGGAGCACUCGAUACUGCGGUGACUCGAGUCCGGUAGGGGAGUGUGGAAUUCCUGGUGUAGCGGUGAAAUGCGCAGAUAUCGGGAAGAACACCCGUGGCGAAGGCGGCUCUCUGGGACGGUACUGACGCUGAGACGCGAAAGCGUGGGGAGCGAGCAGG